rnacentral:lncRNA from 1 species
UUGAAAGCUAGCCAUCUUAGAAAUAUAUUCCAUUAAUGAUGCCUCUUCUCAAUAUUCAUAUUGUGUCUCAUUUCUUGAAAGCUAAAUCAGAUGGAGUAAUGAGAAACAGAAGGGCCAAAUAUUCCUUCCGAAGCAAUUUCCUGGUAUAGUUUCUAACCGCUAAAUUUUUUAUAUAUGUUGAUAGCUAGAAAUCCACAAGCUAUUUGCGAUAAAGAUAUAAAUUUGGGAUUUUAAUGUUAUAAUAAUUAAAUAGAGGUCAAUUAAUUUAAUGUGAUAAGAAUGAUUUAAUUGUGAUUUUAGUAUUAUCGUGGAUAAAAGGCCGGUGACCACCCAUGAAAUUAACGGUGAAAUUUAAAAAUAGUCAGAUUUAUGCUGGAAGUUCAUGCGCAUGUAGUCCAAUCUCUAAUAUAUUAUGCUGGAACUUUUCGUGUAUUCGAGUUCUAGCAUAAUAUGCUGGAAGUUCAUAUAGAGAUGCAUCAAUCUCCAGUAUAUUAUGCUGGAACUUUUAUUGUUACAAUAAAAUAGUAACUAUUUUUCAAUAAUUUUAUUAAUGCUGGCUAUUUUUUAAAUUACCAAUUCAAAAACUGAUUAGACCGUAUUAUUUUCACGAAAUUAACCUUCGUGUCACUUCAUUUUCAGCCUGUCUUGAAGUUAUUAUAAUUGUUAGUAUUUCUUUUCAUGUAUUAUUCUUUUGGCUUAUUUUUUUAGGGCUAAUGAUAUCUAGAUUGCACUUUGAAAUAAGCUAAUAUUUAGUUAUAAUUUGCUUAUCAUAUAUGAAAAGAUGAAAACAGUUUGAAACGGAAAAAAGCUCUUAACUUUUUUUUAUUUGAAAAAGGUUAGUAAGGCGGUAUAUGCUCGUUAUGUGUAUAUUUAUUAUUUUUCAUUGCCCAAAAUCUGUUUAUUUGUUUGUAUAUACGUAUGAAUUUAGAUUUUAGAGAUAUCAAGAAAAGCUAGAGAAAGAUUUGAAGUAUAUAACGUAGCUGGUUUUCAUCAUACUACUUCAUUAGGUUGAUGUUCCAUUUCUCUUUAUUUCCAUUUAUUUUCUAAAGCUUGUGAGCAGGGGUUCGUCCGAAUUCAGUAGCUUUUGUUCAUGCUUUGUAUUUAUCUUAAAAAAUUCAAUAAAAAAUGAUAUAAAUAUGCAACUUAAAACCAGUAACUUAAAAGGAUUGCAACAUCAAACUCAUACGUUUCAAAUCCUGGCUCCGUUUCUGUUUGUGAGUUGAGUCAGUAACUAAGGUCUAACUACCUUUGUAGUUUUUGUUUAAAUAAUAUUCUGACUAAACCCUUGUGAAUUUAAUAUAGCUUUAAAAUUAAGAAGUUGGUCGUUUACUUUUCUAUUUCAGGAGACAACCUUGUAAACCAUUUGGAACAUUCAUUUGAGCAAGAAAAUUGGAGCUAAUAAUACGAUGAAGAUACGAGGAUGAUGUAGCUUUGGCCAACCUCAACCUCGGACCUUCAUCUUUAAGGUCGAUAAUGGCGUCGGAAUGGAACUUUCGUCACCACUAUUUCACAUAACUUUUAUUCAAGAAUUUAAAUUAUAUUGAGCAUGGCACCAAGACAAGAGAGAAGACUCUAAAUGAGGUUGCUGAAGUAAUAAACAUGUAAAUCGAGAUGUAUAUUGUGAUAGUUUUAGCUUUUAGACGAGAUAAUUACAUAUUUUAAAAUGGCAUGAGAGCAAAUAGAAGUCUUGAGUUCAAAUUUCACUAGACUCAUUAUCAAAAAACAUUUUUAGUAAUUGAUCCAUGUAAAUAUUCCAGAUUGCUGCACUAGUUAUCUUCUGAAUUUUCCCCCUUUUCAGGUUAUAGUAAAAGAAUACAAGUAAAAGUGAAAUUUGACAAGUGACAAAAGAUCUCAUAGAACUCUUUUAUUUUCGGAUCAUAGAACAUUUUGAGUAAUUGUCCCUCUAAUUACUUGCUACUUGUAAUCUUUUUAUACAUACUCAAUUCUUUAAUUUAAUUAAACAAGACAAAAAGUAGUGCCAUAUACGUAACAUUUUGUAUUCACGUAGGAUUCAGAAAAAAGGUGUACCUUAAGGGGUUAGAUAACAAUUUAAGUUACAUGCACUAACAAAAUAAAAAUUAUUAUUUUUAUCAAGUUAGCUUUUUGUUGCUUAUAAUAAAGAUCUACUUGUAAUAAGUGAUUUAAUUGUGCAAAUAUUUUUAAUAUCAUCACUGUUAUAACUAUACUCUUAAUAUUGUUGUUAA